rnacentral:rRNA from 1 species
CGCAUCCUGUGCAUGCAGCAUAUCAAUAAGCGGAGGAAAAGAGGGCUAUUACCUACGCUUAGGAUGUUGACACACGCGCGUGCUCGACUCUACACAUGACUCUGUGCAUAUCAAUAAGCGGAGGAAAAGCAAAUGCUGUAUACCUACGCUUAGGAUGUUGACACACGCGCGUGCUCGGCUCUAUACAUGACUCUGCGCAUAUCAAUAAGCGGAGGAAAAGAAACUAACAAGGAUUCCCUUAGUAACGGCGAGUGAAGCGGGAAGAGCUCAAAUUUGAAAUCUUCUAGGUUUUACCUUGACGAAUUGUAGUUUAAAGAAGUGUUUUCUGUUGAAGUUUUGGUAAAAGUUCUUUGGAAUAGGACAUCAUAGAGGGUGAGAAUCCCGUAUUUGACCAUUAUUUUCAGCUGUGUGAUACACUUUCAAAGAGUCGGAUUGUUUGGGAAUGCAGUCCAAAAUGGGUGGUAAAUUUCAUCUAAAGCUAAAUAUUGGCGAGAGACCGAUAGCGAACAAGUACCGUGAGGGAAAGAUGAAAAGAACUUUGAAAAGAGAGUUAAACAGUACGUGAAAUUGUCAAAAGGGAAGCGUUUGACACCAGUGUUGUUUUCUCGAAAAUCAAUUAAAAAGAGUUAGAUUUUGUUGUGUAUUGACCUUAGCAGCUUGCAUUUCAAUUUUCUUGCUUUUUUUAAUGCACUUUUCGUUUAACAAGUCAACAUCAGUUUCUUUUGUUGUAAAAAGGUCAUUGGAAGGUGGCUUUCUUUUCGGAGAAAGUGUUUAUAGCCUUUGACUCCUGCAAUCGGAGAGACUGAGGUCUGCAGCGUAGAUCCUUCGGGGUUAGAUACAUUUGUGCUAAGUUAUAGCUUUUUAUAGACAACUUGUUGACUAUGAUUAGUCUUGUAGCUUACUCGCUUAUGCUAUUUUACCUACGCUUAGGAUGUUGACACACGCGCGUGCUCG